rnacentral:lncRNA from 1 species
CGACCGCAAGCUGUGCAGCCUGCUGGAUGAGUACACCAAGGUGCUCAUCGCCCUCGCCGACAACGUCGGCUCCAAGCAGCUCCAGGACAUCCGCCGCGGGCUGAGGGGCGACUCAGUGGUGCUCAUGGGGAAGAACACGCUCAUCAGGCGCUGCAUCAAGGCUUACGCUGACAAGACGGGGAACCACACCUUCGACCCGCUCAUGGACCUCCUCGUCGGCAACGUUGGCCUCAUCUUCACCAAGGGUGACCUCAAGGAGGUCCGCGAGGAGGUCGCCAAGUACAAGGUGAAUUUCUGUUUCCUCGCAUUUACCUUUUUGCUCACGUCAGCAAGUGUUUUUGGACUAAAUUGUGAAUUCUAGAUGACUAAGUUUGGUAACUUGCGAGUGCAAUCUGAGUGUCAUGAAUAUGAAUUGUAUAGUUCACAAACUGAAUUAAUGGCUCUGAAUGCAGUUUCUGUCCCAUGUGUGCAAUGCAUAUAGUAGAUUUGAAAUCACAAUUGAGAUGUCAGUUAUAACAUUGGAAGUUGCUUAGGUCACCUGAUUGUUUUUUGGUGUGUUGCACCUAUUUUAUAUUGAUUACAUAACACCAUGUGUUGUUACCGUUUUCUGUUCAGUUAUGACGCAUGACUGCAAGUAGCAGUUUGAUUGUAGGAAGCAUGGCUGCUGAUUACAAUGUGACUGUCCUGAACAUUGAAUUUUAGUUUCAGAUUCAAUUUUUUGUGAAAUUUUGGGAAUUUUAGUUUCAGGAUAUUAUUUCAAGUUUUGGUAAUAAUAUGAAUUCUUUGAGAUUUUGGUUGUUAGUUGCUUUGGAUUACCUACUGGGGCUAAGUGUAAAAUUUUAACUGUGUAAAAUCUGAUUGGCUCAGUGGCUGAUGUUGUCUUUGGUGGAACCCAUCACCAAAUGGAUACAAAUCAUAUUGAUCACUGUUGUUACAAUUAAAAUCUCAAGUGGAGUCAUGUCAAUGAAGAUUGGUGUCUUGUUACAUAGUUUUGUGAUGUUUGUAAUUCUGUGUUAGUAUCAAGUCUUUUUGUUGAUGUUUUUGCAUGGUCGUACUUCUGUCAGUAUUUUUAUUGCAGCAGAUGCACUAUAGAUUUGUUGAGCUGAAGUUUAUUUAGAGCACAUGUUAUCUAUAUACUAAUGUCAAAUCUGUUUUUUCCCCAAAACAGGUUGGUGCUCCUGCUCGUGUUGGGCUGGUUGCUCCCGUUGAUGUUGUUGUCCCCCCUGGCAACACUGGUCUGGAUCCCUCCCAGACCUCUUUCUUCCAGGUGAGUUAUAAUUGGCAGUACAUCUCUUAUAACAGUUAUCAGCACAGCAUCAUACUCACACCUAUCGCUUGUUUCAGGUGCUCAACAUCCCCACCAAGAUUAACAAGGGUACUGUGGAAAUUAUCACCCCUGUGGAGCUGAUCAAGAAGGGUGACAAAGUGGGCUCAUCCGAGUCUGCCCUUCUUGCCAAGCUGGGUAUCCGCCCUUUCUCAUAUGGUCUUCAGGUCAUCAAUGUCUAUGAGGAUGGGUCAGUCUUCAGCCCUGAGGUGCUUGACCUGACUGAGGAGGACCUCAUUGAGAAGUUUGCCACUGGUGUCUCCAUGGUUGCCUCUCUGUCCCUGGCGCUCUCGUACCCAACCCUUGCUGCCGCGCCCCACAUGUUCAUCAAUGGGUACAAGAAUGUGCUUGCUGUUGCUGUGGAGACAGACUACUCGUACCCGCAUGCUGACAAGAUCAAGGAGUACCUCAAGG